rnacentral:rRNA from 1 species
AUUGAACGCUGGCGGCAUGCCUUACACAUGCAAGUCGAACGGCAUCGCGGGAAAGCUUGCUUUCCUGGCGGCGAGUGGCGAACGGGUGAGUAACACAUCGGAACGUACCGGCUAGUGGGGGAUAACCCGUCGAAAGACGGGCUAAUACCGCAUACGCUCUUCGGAGGAAAGCAGGGGACCUUUGGGCCUUGCGCUAGUCGAGCGGCCGAUGUCCGAUUAGCUAGUUGGUGGGGUAAAGGCCUACCAAGGCGACGAUCGGUAGCGGGUCUGAGAGGACGAUCCGCCACACUGGGACUGACACGGCCCAGACUCCUACGGGAGGCAGCAGUGGGGAAUCUUGGACAAUGGGGGCAACCCUGAUCCAGCAAUGCCGCGUGGGUGAAGAAGGCCUUCGGGUUGUAAAGCCCUUUCGGCAGGGAAGAAAUCGGCGGGGCGAAUAACCCUGCUGGAUGACGGUACCUGCAGAAGAAGCACCGGCUAACUACGUG